CAACUCAGAAAUCUGCCUGCCUCUGCCUCCAAAGUGCUGGGAUUAAAGGCGUGCAGCACCACGCCCGGCUUUAGGACAGUUUUGCAUGUACAGAAAAAUUGUGAAAGUUGCUAGGUACACUCAGCCCAUACUAGUCUGAGACACAAUUUAAAAACAAUUUUGUUUAUAGAUUGCAUUCCUACAGUUGGAUCUCUGUAUAUGCUCAGUAUAGGUAAGGCAAGGACUGGGGAUAGGCUGUACAGUACAGAUUAACUCAGCUGAGCUGGCUCAAACACUGCUCAUGCCAAAAAGACUUGUCCUGGAGAGAUCUGAGGCCUUGGAUUGUCCUGCUGGUAAAUGUUAUCCAUCUGCCUGAUUAAUGAUUAUCACUAUCAAUUUGACUUCUGGGGAGGGAAACUCCUUUGUGUGUGUGCUCUCUGCCUACCAACCGGCUCCCAACCCUAAGCAACUCUGGUAUUUUGAUGUAUUAUACACAGAUGCUGGGAACUAUUUCCUAUGGGAUUCCAUCGGGGUCAGUGGUGAAGUUAAUAGAAACUGGAAGAAACGCUAUUGAAGAGGAUCUGUCUCUUGCUCGUUCCGUGACAAGCAUUUACCGAGCACCUCUUUGGAUGCAGUGCAGAAGUUACAAGGUCAGCAAUUCACACUGAAAUUCUACUGCAGCAGCACAAAGUCCCAGCUGACACCCACCAGAAUGUUUCCUUCAGGAGUAUCACUGUUUCACACAUCAGAGCAUCUGAUAACUGAAGACUUCACUCUGAAACCGGGUAUUGAACCUCCCAUUUCCUUCUUAUAAGGAGGCUUGUCAACUGAAGGGUGGGGGCCUUAUCUGGGUCAGUGGACUAAGACCUGGUGAGACAGCCUCAAGCUCAGGAUAUCUGACAGUGUCAGCAGCUAAGAACCCUGAAGUCAUUUACCCUCACUCCUGUUUCCACAGGAAUCAACUGAAUGUCCUGCACAAGCCGCUCUCACUCCUGUUGGUACCCAGAUGGCCCUGAACAGCUUCUAUCCCCAACAACCCUCACUCCAGAUGAACAAGUUCUAAUAGCUUUGAUAGCACAACUAAAGACAGCGCAGAGCCACAGCUCAAUGAGCACAAAACAUUUUGGAGGCCUAAUGGAAGUCAGUGGACUCUUUAUUGCUUCGGGCGUGUGGGGCUCAGGAGCUCUUGGUGGGGCGGGUCCGUUUCCUCUUCACCACCACAGGCUUCUGGCUUCGAAGGAUGGCACUGGCCCUGCGGAUGGCCGCCUGAGGACAGGACAAGGAACUUAGCUCACAAACUCAAAAGACACUCCCAUUUACUGCUGCUUGUUUCCUAGGACUCCGGGGAGGCAGGGUGUGUGUGUGUGUGUGUGUGUGUGUGAGUGAUCAAAAGUCCCGAGUCUAGCUCCAGCUAGGCAGAGCCAAGCACCCAGGCCUGCAUGCAGCCCCUCAGGUUUAGUACCAGCUGCCCCCCUGCCUUAAGUACCCAUCCAUUACUCACCAUACGCAGAUCAGGGCGGUACUUGUUCUUUCGGAUCAUGUGUCUGAUGCUGCUGAGGGUAGCCCGAGCAUUCUUGUUGAUGGUGGUCCUCACAUAAGAAGUGGCAGGUUUUCGCUGACCUGGUAAGGAAAGCCUAGGAAUCAGUCCAUCUGCAUGAGCCCUUCAGAGCAUCUGCCUGAUGGAACACAGAGCCUCUCUGAAGACCAUGCUCACCCCAUCUUCCCUCCAGCCCAUUCAGUACAUCCCUUAGGUGACUGUCACAGGUAAGUCUUAAAGCCCGGGAAAAUCCCAUCCCUCUUUAGGAACCUCCCAGAUACAGGAGGGACAUAGCGCAUGCACUUAAUCCAAGCACUCAGGAAGCAGAGGCAGGUGGAUCUCUGAGUUCUAGACCAACCUGAUGUAGAGUUCCAGGACAUUGAGGUCUACAUAGAGAAACUGUACUUAAGUUUCUCUCUACACUUCUUAAUUUAAAGAUCACCUUACACAGCCGGGAAGUCAGAGGAAGGGCAGUUCUGGACCCUGGAAAAAGGGAGCGCUAUCGUGUGCAAAGGCUCACCGGAUCUGCGUUUCAUAACUACCACGACCCCUUUGCCAUCGGCGGCCGGCUCCACUCCGACGGUCUUGCGGUGAAUUAGCCCGUUGUAGCGGAAGGAGUUUCGGGCUUUCAGAUUAUUUGGCUCCUGGGGAAUAGGUGUACACGAUGUUAAGUUAAGGCCCGGAGGCUCCGAUACGCAAAAGAGCCACAGUGCCCCUCACACGCGGGCCCGACUCACCGUGCUGUACGUCUGCUUAUUCCUCUUGAUCAAGAAACUGGAGCAGUUCCGGACGACCAUCCACUGCAGA